AAUGUGGAAUUCGCCCUUGGACUACCAGAGGCGAAAGCGCCUAACGAGGACUCGCUCGUCGGCCAAGGACCAAAGUUGGGGUAUCGAUAACGAUUAGAGACCGUUGUAGUCCCAACCACAAACUUUGCUGACUGGCAUUGCGCGGCCGAUGUUCCGACGGAGCCGUGCGGGGCCUAGGCGAAAGCAUAGUCUCCGAGUCUCGUGGAGAGUAUGCACGCAAGUGUGAAAUUUAAAGGAGUUGGCGGGCUCCCAUACAGGGACUGGGACGCGUGAUUUAAUUUGAUUCAACACGGGACAACUUACCAGGGCCGCGACGCGUGGGAGUCGCCUGGCUGCAGACCGGCGGCGAUUGCGUUUGAGGUUGUGCAUGGCCACCCGAAGCUGGUGGAGUGAUUUUAUGGUUAAGUCCGUUAAUCGGCGAGACCCUCGUCUCCAGUUGCCCUGGAGAGACCGGGCGUGCAAGCGUCGGGACGGUCGGUCAAAGGUAGGUCCGUGAUGCAAA
rnacentral:rRNA from 1 species